GUGGGUGGGGGCAUCUCGGAGGAGGUGGGGGGUGUGGCGCCCAGUGGAUGACUCUGAGCGGCUCCUUUCCCAG
ensembl:miRNA